rnacentral:rRNA from 1 species
GGGCCCGCACAAGCGGUGGAGUAUGUGGUUUAAUUCGAUGCAACGCGAAGAACCUUACCAGGGUUUGACAUCCUGCGAAUCUCUUGGAAACGAGAGAGUGCCUUCGGGAGCGCAGUGACAGGUGGUGCAUGGCUGUCGUCAGCUCGUGUCGUGAGAUGUUGGGUUAAGUCCCGCAACGAGCGCAACCCACGUCUUUAGUUGCCAUCAUUUCGGAUGGGCACUCUGGAGAGACUGCCGGUGACAAACCGGAGGAAGGUGGGGACGACGUCAAGUCCUCAUGGCCCUUAUGGUCGGGGCUACACACGUACUACAAUGGGCACUACAAUGGGCAGCAAGACCGCGAGGUGGAGCAAAUCCCAAAAAGUGUCCUCAGUUCGGAUUGGAGUCUGCAACUCGACUCCAUG